AUGUGGCCGUGUCCCCCGCUUCAUGGAGAGGGGAAAAUCCUGGUUAAUGGUAAACUGGAGAGUGGCUGAUUCCACAGAGAGCGGCGUUGGGCUCCCCAGGAAACUGGCCCUGGGCUGGGGAAAGGUGCAGAAAAUAAUCCUAUUGUAACAUCGCACGUGAAAUUUUCUCUAUCAAACCCAUAUCAGCUGUCAGCAAGCAGCAGCGUGUCUCUUUAGGCUGCGUUCAGGGUAAAUAGCGUCGUACCAUCCGUGUUUCUGUAGCAUCCGAACGUUGAGCUGAACCUGGGAGCUCGGAAUGAGGAGGCUGCAUGCGGAACGCGCUUUAUCCGGGACUAUUGUUUUUACUGUUCUAGUCUGUUCUUGGCUGCACAGAUAUCUUUUUAAUGACUGCAGAGUGGCUGGUUACAGAGCAAAGGAUAAAAGCACACGCCGGUAGCAGUCUGCUGCGGGGAAAUGCCUUCUCAUAUGGCAACAGCCUUUUUCUCUUCCGUAGCCUUUGUCUCGAAAGACUAGAAUUCAUUCCAGCAUCGAGAGCUCUUUUCCUGAAGGUUGUACCCAAACAAGACAAACCCCAUUCAUUGUGGAGAAGAGUUUGGUUUGGUUUGGGUGGGUUUUUUGCUGGAAUCGUGUGUCACAUUCUUCCUAUAGGAAAAAACGGACAAGCUGAGAAUAAGCAAAAUGCUCGAAGAGCGUUUGAGGUCUAGAUUAAUUAUUUUUUCAUCUAUAUUUGUACGGGAAGAGUUGGUGCAUUAUAGAGAGGCUACAAGAAGUACCUUUAAACAUUAGUGCGUUUCUUGGAUGUGUUAUGGUUAGUAAAUCCAGGGCAUGGUUUUAUUAGCUCUAGCAUUGAUUAUCUCUGACCCACUCACCUAUAUAUCCUGGAAGGAACGAGUUUCAAACUCUGUUGCUUUAAAUACGUGGUUUUCUAGUGAAGGUGUUUUGGUCUGAAAAGCUUCAGAAACGUGAGUGUGUUCACACUGAUGAGCAGAUUUCUUUUUCAGAGGGCAAGUGUGGGUAGAAAUUCAGCCGUGCUUUCUAGAAAACAGUUUGUCAUCUUUCUGCUUUAAAAGUAAAAGCUCCGUUCCCUUUUGGUGUAAUAGUUCAUAUUUAAUGUGACAUAAGGACAAUUAUGCAAAAAUGUGUUGAAACUGGAAGCUGCUUAUUGCGAGUUGUUGAAUAUUGUAAGAUGAACGACGGCAGCGGGGGACGAAGGCUGGUGAUCAGUUCUGCUCUGUGUUACCCCCGAAUCAGACGGUUCCUCGGAGCUUUGGAGUGUCUGGAGUCUUAUCUUGGGGGGGGGGAAAUAGCUCGAUGCAGAGUUGUGACUAAUAUAUAUUGUGUCUGGGUCAGGCUUUGAAUAACUGGUUGAAUUAUUGAGGGGGAGUUCAGACUUAGUUUGUUCUUUUGUUAAGCCGUAGGUUCCUGAACUAUUGUUGUCAGGUAAUUUUAAAAUCCAAUCUAGAUUGGAUUUAAUAAUCAUAUCUUCUUACUAUAGUAAUAAAAUAUGGUCAUGGAUUAUGGGCUAAGGUUCUUAAAGCUGACUUGGGUAUGGGUUUCUGGUGCCGAUGUGUCGCCAGGAAGAAUGAGACUCCGAAAUGAAAGAAUGAACUCUGGCAUGCCCGGCCCAAGGAGCAGAUUCUAAAUAAGGGCCUUUAUAGGAGGUGUGGCCACCACAGAGAAAAUAACCACUUAUUGCAGCAAAGCAAACAAAAAGGGAAAACAUUACCCAGAUUGACGCCUAAUUUUCUGUGGUGUUGGUUUAAUAUGGAACAUGCCCUGACAGGUCACAAUCCUGGCUUAUAUUUGAGGUUUCUCUGCUUCCCGUCGGACCUGAGACGUGAUGCCUGAUGAAAUACAACUAAAUAGCAGCGAAGAGGAGGGGACGUCACCUCCUGAUGCUUUUGACUGAUACCCCGCUCGCUGGGAGCUUCUUUCUCCUUCCAGAGGUGCCGGUUCUCAUCGCUUCGUUCAUCUCUUUCAUCCGCACGCUCCUGGCCUGGGAUGUCACCUGGACACGGAGCGUCUUGGGCUCCUGUUUGCAAACUCAUCAGCAAAAAAUAAACGUGUUGGAGGGCAGAGUGCUCCCCAGAGCUUUCCGCUUUCCCAGGGGUGCGGUCAGUGCUUGUGCAGCCGCACGCACGGAGCUGAGAGAUGAUCCAGCGCAGAACUACCUGCAUUUUAUAUCAACAGCGACUUCUCUGGUAUUAGACCAACCACGGGAGGAGUUGCAGAUGUCCUCGGCGUGACCAGACCUCAGGUUUUUAAGUUUCCCCCGUGCAGGGAUCUCUUAUGCUGCGGUGUCUUGUGUUCCAUCGAGCCGCGUUGCCAGGCUUAAAUAAUUAUAGUUGCUUUUUUUCCAGACUCUGAGCAAUACGUGUAGACUCCUCUACAUCCUUAAACAAAAACACCACCAUAAAAAAAGCACCAGCCUGCCCGGCUUCCUCGGGGAGUCUUCAAAACCUCCAAUUAGUGGGAGUUGAUUCUGGCUGUAAAGUGUUUCUUUAUUGGGGCAGUUUGUCCUGUUAAAAAGAACACCAGGGAUGCGUCUGAGGAGUGAGUGUGUGUAUGAGCCUUGUGAGCACCUUCAGCAGGAAAAACGCAUCAGUCCGGUGCGUUUCACAGCGUUUCUCUCGUCCUGCGGUUCAGGAUCCUCAGUGGGAGGGCAUCCAGACUCUUCUGAACUGUGCAAGUGGCCUCUGUAGUUCCAGGGUCCUGCUUGAGUUUAGAUUGUCCAUGAAAUGAGGUGAACUGAGAGCAAAAUGAGAAACUUUAAAUGCUUCAAAAUUGAGUUGCCUUCUAAUAUUUAAUCCUCUCUGUGUUCAGAAAGCUGAAUUGAAUAAUCUCGAUUACCAUAAUCCCAUUUUUGAAUCUACCAGGUUCCUGGCUCUUAAAUACUGUUUCGUAUUUCAGAGUCACUUGGCUUUACAACGGCAGAGCUGAUCUUUUUGGGGUGUUCUUGGUUUCCUUUUGGGCUUCUCUGGUGCUUCUUUCCAUCCUUCUGCUUUGUGACUUCAGAGAUGCUGAGGGGUCUGGAGCAUCUUUGUGAUGAGGAGACACUGAGAGAGAUGGGGCUGCUGAGCUGGAGAAGAGAAGCUGAGAGGGAUCUGAUCAAUGGAUCAAUAUCUCAGGGUGUGUGUCAGGGGAUGGACCAGACUCUGUUCAGUGGUGCCCAACGCCAGGGUGAGGGGCAACGGGCACAGACUGAAACACAGGAGGCUCCAUGUGAACAUGAGGAGAAACUUCUUCCCUUUGCGGUGCCAGAGCCUGGCCCAGGCUGCCCAGAGCGGGUGUGGAGUCUCCUUCUCUGAGACAUUCAAACCCCUGGGAUCCUGUGUGAUCUGCUCUGUGACCCUGCGUGAGCAGGGCUGGGCUGGGGAUCUACAGGGGUCCCUUAACACCAGCCACCCUGAUUCUGUGAUUCCCAUGGUGCAAUUCCCGGUGUUCCCCGGGAUCAGGGACUGUGUCCGUGUCACAUCGCAGCUUGCAGAACAGGAAAGGGAGUCGGAGCCCGUGCACACGGGGAUGGCUCAUUGUAGAUACCAUUAUUAACUGGGGCCUGGGAUAGAUCGGGUAAUUACUGUUUUCACAGCUGGAUUACCUCACUGCGCGUUUCAUCUGACUCACACCAUUAUGAAAGUCAACCUGAUGGCUGUUUUAACCUUAUUGAUAUGGUGUGAAACAGCUGUGGAGGGGCCUUUGUGUGGCUGCUGGUUGUGUUUGCCAUCGCUUUUCCUUUCCAAUCAACCAUCUGUUUACUUGUGGCAAACUCACCCCAGUGCCCUUCACACCUCACCUCAGGUAGGGUUCUUUUUUGAGACACCAUCAUUUGACUUUAUUUCUGAGUAUAUACAGUGAUAAUAUUAUCAUGAUUUCUUUGGUAAGAGCUGAAUACAAACCCAAUAGUGAAAUAAAUGUCUUACCACUCAUGUGGGACUGUAGGCUUGGGAGAGGGGCAGAACUGGAAGCAAUUUGUUUAUUGAAGAAGCUAAUUUGAAUUGUGAUGAGUGUGGGUACGUACUUGGAGCCUCACUUUUGGCCUGGAAAUAUUGAAGUGUGUCUCAGGGAUAGUUUUUCUUAAUAUUUUUUUUAAAAAAUCCAUUCAAAGAGUAUUUGUAGUGAACCACUACUCUGCUAAAACGUGCUUGUAAAAAGGCUAAAGAGAAAGAACUGUGAUAGUGGGUGUUUUAUAGCACAAUCCGUGGCCCUGUGAAGCCAGGAAGCCUUUGCCUUAUUUACAGUCCCCUCCUUCGCUGGUCUAUGAUGUUGUUUUUAUGGGCAACGGUGUAUUAUUUAAAACCUUGAAGGGGUUGUGUGAGAAAGCAGCAUCGCUUUAAAUCACAUAUCUGUAAGAGGUCAUAAAAUAGCCGGAUGACCCCUCGUAGGAUGCUGAGGUUUUUGACGGAGCUAAAAAAAGUAGAUGCCCAAAACCAUAUGGUAUUUUUGCUUCUCGCUGCUUGUCUCGUCUAUUUAACGUAUAAAUCCAACCAACUCCAACCUCUGCGGUUCUCGGAUGCGCGAGCUGACGUUUCGGAGAGGGUUCUUCAUUCAGCGCCAGAUACAACUUCUGGUAAAGACAAAGCCGAUUAACCACGAGGUUCUGCCUCCCCAGUCUGUCACCAACUGCUCCGGGUCCUGCCCCAUGGGACUGUCAGGUGUCACCACUCGGAUCCGCGUCCCCCGCAGCCCCUGGGUCGCGACUGGCAAUAGAAGAACCAACACAGGUUGCUUGGAGGUGUAGCCAUGGGAUGCUUUGUGGAAAACUCUCGGAGCCAAGAAAGGGAUCGGAGAACAACCCAGAUGGACACAAAGCGUAUGAACGUGCCCUUUUGGCAUUUGACACCAGUUUCUAGUUUUCUAAAAAAGAGAAAAUAGGGUCCAACACAUGGUCCUCCCAGUUGAAAUGCUGUUUCUUAAAUCAGAAGUAGUUUUCUAGCAUCUCGCCUUUGACUUGGAGGUUUUCGUUUCUGAAUGGAACAAUGUGACCUUGUGUGUUUGCACGUUAAUCACCUGGUGAAUUUUGGCCGCACGCGGUCACGUGCAGCGGGCAGCUCUUUAGCGUGGGAUGGAUUUAUACAGGGCUGCGCCCAUUUUUUGUUCAGCCUCAUGCUUCUAGCGUUGCUGAUUCAAAACAAGCUAAAAAAUGUCAGGCUCUUUAUUGAACUUGCUGCCGAACGCAGAGUCAGGCUGCUCAGAAAGCUCAGCCAUCCCCCUGAUGUUUCUUGCCAGCAGAAAUUCAAGCUGUCCCAAACCAGCAAGCAGAUGAAGUGAUCUGAUGGUGUCCGUUGACUAAAUUGCCUAUCGAGCUAUUUUUAGGAAUAAUAAGCCUAUAACAAGCCUUUUCGUCCAGGGUCCACUUUAUCUUGGGUUUUGUGCUGCUUAGUCCUGGUUUUGCUGAGCGGAGCCCUGGGUGGCAGGAGGGGACCGGCCGCUUCGCCUUCCUGCAUCCGCAGCCCCGAGCGCAUCCCUGCGGAGCUCGUCCCGGCAGCACCUUUAUUCCACAGCCGUUUUCCUUGGAGACCUAACACAGAUUCAACUGGAUGCGUUUAUUUUGUUGUUAUUUUCUUCUUUUAAACAAGUCCCCACGUAACUAAACGCUGGAAGGAGAAUUCGCCGGGUCGGAGCUGCUCGUGGGUGUAAACAGCUUCGUGCUUUGUGUCCGAGGAGCCUUGUGUUUCACUGGCGCUUCUGUGGGACUGAUCUCUGCAGUGUCGUUUUCUCGUUGCCACCAGGAAGGCAGCUCAUCCUGCUUAAACCCGGCCUGCCUUCAACCCCGGCCUAGGGAAGGAGCACUUCACAACAGACACUUGCUGCGUGGCGUUCAUUUUUCGGUUAUUUCAGCCCUGUAACACUGGUAGUAUUUAUUUUUUCCCAAAAUGAACAGAACUAGAGGCAAGGCAGCGUAUAUUGACAGAGUUUCUAAGAAGUCACUUCAAAGCUUCUCUGAGCUUUUCCAAAGGAAACGCGGAAUUAAUUCCACUUUGUUUUGCGCUCGGCUUGUUUUGCUGGGUUGGAGUUGUAAGCUGGGUCUGGCGUGUGUCUCCUCUUGUUUCAAUGACUCCGUGCUGGGCUUGUUCAUCUCCUCCAUAUGCACCGGAGCAGAUAAAAGUGGGAUAAAUCCUACCAGCGAUGGGAGAUUUCGGGAUGUGAGCCAGCACCUCAGAGCACCUCACAGCUCUGGAUUUAAACCUAUCGAGUGAUUUUUGCACAGAUGUUCCAUUUCUUUCACCUCAGAAUAGCAAAAUACUCAUUUAUAGCUCUGAAGUUCAUCUCCAAAGCGUCUUGAUGCUACAGAUCGGGUGGGCUGGUAAACGGAGAAGAUAUGUCAGCUGCAGAUGUAAUCCUGAAUUCAUGAUGGAAAUUGUUGAUCUCCCGCCUUUCCGAGCUUAAAACCAGUUUCCAGGAAUGUUCCGUUUCCAUUUCCAGCUGCCCACCCGCAUGGAUCUUGCUGCUGUUUGGUUGUAUUUUGUACUGAAAAUGGAUGUCCGGCCUCUUUCUGUGCAUCAGCCUCGCCAUGUCCUGCGUUCCGCUCCGUCCUGCUAGCGCUUCUUGGGCUGCUCUGGAUCUUUGGUCUGUGUUCUCAAAGGCCAAGCCAGACCCAACGUUACUUUCCGCUUGAGCGUGUGACGGCGGCUCUGGUUAUAACACCCGAUUCAAGAGCCUUUACUCGCCCCAUAGCCACUAAUUCCGCAAAGCUCCAAAUAAGCUUCACCCCUUUUGCUCCGUUGAGCUUUGAAUUUUCUGCUUUAGGAGAAAAGUUGGAGUUCAAAGUCCACAUCUAGGCUAACGCCGGGUGCUCGCCUGUUUGCUUUGGCACUGAUGCUCCUAAAGUUAAGCCUGGUGUGAUGCUGAUAUAUUUUUCAGACCAGCCAUCCCCCCUCCCGGUGCCUCCGUUGAAAACCAGCGGGUUUUGUCUUAGAGAUGCGGCUCCGUUAUAGAGCACACGUGUUAAGUGCACAUCAACCCCGCUCCUUGUCUCAAGUGGAAACAACCCCAUGUAACAAAACGUUGGGAAAACUGAGAGUGUUUUUCAGCUGUCGGACAGGCGAGAGGGUCGGGUCUGUCUUUAUGUCUAAACUGCGCUUUAUUGGGUCAAAUCCCCGCUGCUGUUCUAGUGGGAAAGUCUUUUUGGUGUGUCAACUGUUGUUCUCUUAAAAACGCAGCCAGUAACUUAAGAAGUGUUUACAGAAAGUAGUUUUGAGCAUUUAGGGUAACGUAAAAUAAAUGUGCUUUGUGUUCUGUACGUUAAUAUCCCUAAUUACUUCCAGUAAACUCGAAAUGUUGAAAUAA